GACUAGUUCUAAAGAAUGUAAGCAAAUAAGAUUAAUAACAAUGUAGCAGAUAACCAACAAAUAAUAAUAACAGAGGUGAUUAUGAAAAAAUCGAGAAGAGAUUACGUUAUGCAUGCAAAUAGUUCAAUAUCCUAGAUCUACAAAAAAGGUCAUAGAUGAUUGAAAAACCAUCCAUUAUUAGGGCAUCAGAUCAUAAUUAAAAAUUUAGAUCUAAUUAAUAAAAAAAUAUAGGAUUAACUUUCUACAAUAACGAUGUACUCAUAGAUUCAUUUAGAAGCAAG
rnacentral:lncRNA from 1 species